CCCCCCACCCUCGCCGCCGUCGCCGCCCUGGCCCGGGGGGGGGAGCAGCAGCUCCAGGCCCUGGAGGUGCUGGCGGCGCUGGGCCCCGCCCAGGUGGGGGAGGGGCUGCUGGAGGCGCUGCAGCUCGGGCUGCGAUUGGCCGAGAGCGGCGACAGCGACGCCACGCGGGUCACGUGAGUGCUGGCAUUCCCGAAAUUCCCAAAAUCCCAAAUCUCCAAAAUUCCCAAAAUUCCCAAAAAAAAUCCCCAAAAAUGCCCAAAAUUCCCAAAAUUCCCCCAAAUCUCCGCCCACUCAUCUUAAGCCCCGCCCACUUCCCCCCUAAGCCCCGCCCACUGCCCUGAGCCCGCCCCUGUCAAUCACAGCCCAAGCCACGCCCACGCCGCCCCAAGCCACGCCCCCCGCCUUUUGCCACGCCCCCGCCUUUUGCCACGCCCACACCGCCUUUGGCCACGCCCACUUUGGGCUUCUGGCCGCUCCCAGUUCAUCCCAGUAACCCCAAGGCCCAAACCAGUAACGUCCCAGUAACUCCCAGUUUGAUCCCAGUUCAUCCCAGUUCAUCCCAGUAUAAACCAAUUACCUCCGAGUAACUCCCAGUUCCCUCCCAGUCCCUCCCAGUAUAAACCAGUUUCCUCCCAGUUCCCUCCCAGUCCCUCCCAGUUCCUCCCAG
rnacentral:lncRNA from 1 species